rnacentral:rRNA from 1 species
GAUGAACGCUGGCGGCGUGCCUAACACAUGCAAGUCGAGCGAUUCUCUUCGGAGAAGAGCGGCGGACGGGUGAGUAACGCGUGGGUAACCUGCCCUGUACACACGGAUAACAUACCGAAAGGUAUGCUAAUACGGGAUAAUAUAAGAAAUUCGCAUGUUUUUCUUAUCAAAGCUCCGGCGGUACAGGAUGGACCCGCGUCUGAUUAGCUAGUUGGUGAGGUAAUGGCUCACCAAGGCGACGAUCAGUAGCCGACCUGAGAGGGUGAUCGGCCACAUUGGAACUGAGACACGGUCCAAACUCCUACGGGAGGCAGCAGUGGGGAAUAUUGCACAAUGGGCGAAAGCCUGAUGCAGCAACGCCGCGUGAGCGAUGAAGGCCUUCGGGUCGUAAAGCUCUGUCCUCAAGGAAGAUAAUGACGGUACUUGAGGAGGAAGCCCCGGCUAACUACGUGCCAGCCGCCGCUGUAACAC